CCCUUCGAACUCUCCCUUUCUCUACAAAUCGUAUGGACGUAGUCCGUUGACCCCAUUCCUUCACGGAUCAAGCUCCCAAGACCCCCCAUCAUAUUUCUUGCAAGAAUACGAAUUCAACCAUACCCUUGGUUGGUUGAAUUAUCUUCGAUAAACCCAGAAACCACGAGGGUUCCGUCGAAGCACUGUAGCACCGAUUUGAUCGUCGAGGUUUCACGCCAUUUUGAGGUUCAGAAAGGGCUAUAGUGAGCUUUAGAACGUCCUCAUGAUGCUCGAAGUGCAACGUUGAGGUAUUUUGGACGUCGAGGAGCCAUAGAACGAAGUUUCACUUUUUGCCGAAUUAUCGUGUUUCCCCAGGUAAAAUCUAGUGAAUUUUAGACCUUGAAACUAGUCCAUCGUGAUUCUACAUGUUGAGGGCUUCAAAUUGACAUAAAAUUCGAAGAAAACGGUUGAGAAACGAAGGAGACCAAGCAAUUACAAAAUUCGCCGGAAUCUGGCCACCGGAAAAACCAGUCUGGCGACUGGCUGAGGAAGAAGACGCACGUGGGGACGCGUAGGUCCGUGCCACCCACGGCGCGUGAGGGUGACACCUAUCUCGAGGACGAGCGCAUCCAGGGACGUCAUGG